CGCGUGGCUCCAGGGCAGUCUGCGCGAAGAAAGCAGACACGGCACACAGACACCUGGUUCUGUCACCCCGAGUCCCAUCAGUGCACAUGUCCCCAUCAUAACCUGCAGCGCGUGACAUUUAUCUGCUUGGCUUUAACGCAGCAUCUUCACAGUUGCCGAAGGGACUGCUUGGCAACUGCUCGGUGGAUUCCAUGUUCCCGCUUUCCUGCAGCUGCUUAGGGACAGCUCCAUGCGUCCCUCAUCCGGUGUGAGAACUGAAGUGCUCAUGCGCAGAAUCAGCUCCCUGGCAAGACCGUUGCUCGGGAGUGGGGUGGGGAUUCUGCAUUACCUUUCCGUGGGGAGAUAUUAAAAAAAAAAAGAUCUGCUCCUCCCAGAUAGGGUACCAAUGACAAACCAAAAUAACAAUGCCACUCUAGCCAACAAAAAACUAUGUUUAUUUGGCUCACUUAUAGAGCGUGAGAGGCUAUAGGAGAAUGACCCCUGAACAACCACAACACCAAAAGUUCUCACCCCAGCAUGGAUGACAACUUCCCCGUGCCUAUAAUAAAUGGAGUCACCUUCUCAUCUAAUCUUCCAUACUUUAUAUACUCUAUCACCUGAGACCCCAGACCCAUGUGCACACCCCUGGAAGAAGGUGUAAGAAGGAGCAGGAGCCUCAGGAGUCUCAGGUCCCUUUCCAUGUGGUACUGACUGCUGUUCAUAAAGGCCGGGGACAUCCAGUCACCAAGAGAACUCAACGGGAUCCAGGAAGGGGCUUGGUUUGCAUCAUAGCUUCAAAGCCUCGGAGCUGGAACAGAUCCCGGUUAGUUCACAUUCUCUGCCCCUGGAAAGACCACACAGGGUCCUGGAAAAACCAUGCUCACCAGACCCAGCAUGUUCACUGUGGAGAAGCCGGAGAGCCCUGCAGGUCCUGGAUGCCCAUGGGUGGGCUGGCGGUGGGACAGUGGCACUGAUGGUGAAGACCGCACGGGCCAGUGCCACCUCAGAGUGAGCUGAAGCAAGGAACAGGCGUCCAGUCAGCUCUCGUGAUGGCCUCUUCUCUAACAGAAGGCCCCACCCUGCAGCUCUUGUCUUCAUUCCACUGAUUAAAGCCAUUCCCUAUUUUCCCA